rnacentral:tRNA from 2 species
GACCUUGUGGUGCAACGGUAGCGUGUCUAACUCCAGAUCAGAAGGCUGUGUGUUCAAAUCACGUUGAGGUCA